rnacentral:rRNA from 1 species
CUGGUCAGGAUGAACGCUAGCGACAGGCCUAACACAUGCAAGUCGAGGGGCAGCACAAGGAGCAAUCUGAGGUGGCGACCGGCGCACGGGUGAGUAACACGUAUGCAACCUGCCUGUAAGCGGGGAAUAACCCGUUGAAAGACGGACUAAUACCGCAUAAUACUAAAUUACUGCAUGGUAAUUUAUUUAAACAUUUAUGGCUUACAGAUGGGCAUGCGCAUGAUUAGCUAGUUGGAGAGGUAACGGCUCCCCAAGGCAACGAUCAUUAGGGGUUCUGAGAGGAAGGUCCCCCACACUGGUACUGAGACACGGACCAGACUCCUACGGGAGGCAGCAGUGAGGAAUAUUGGUCAAUGGACGAGAGUCUGAACCAGCCAAGUCGCGUGCAGGAAGAAUGUCCUAUGGAUUGUAAACUGCUUUUGCAGGGGAAUAAAGUGCAUCACGUGUGAUGUUUUGUAUGUACUCUGCGAAUAAGGAUCGGCUAACUCCGUGCCAGCCGCCGC